rnacentral:rRNA from 1 species
CUACGGGUUGCAGCAGUGGGGAAUAUUGCACAAUGGGCGCAAGCCUGAUGCAGCCAUGCCGCGUGUAUGAAGAAGGCCUUCGGGUUGUAAAGUACUUUCAGCGGGGAGGAAGGGAGUAAAGUUAAUACCUUUGCUCAUUGACGUUACCCGCAGAAGAAGCACCGGCUAACUCCGUGCCAGCAGCCGCGGUAAUACGGAGGGUGCAAGCGUUAAUCGGAAUUACUGGGCGUAAAGCGCACGCAGGCGGUUUGUUAAGUCAGAUGUGAAAUCCCCGGGCUCAACCUGGGAACGGCAUCUGAUACUGGCAAGCUUGAGUGUCGUAGAGGGGGGUAGAAUUCCAGGUGUAGCGGUGAAAUGCGUAGAGAUCUGGAGGAAUACCGGUGGCGAAGGCGGCCCCCUGGACGAAGACUGACGCUCAGGUGCGAAAGCGUGGGGAGCAAACAGGAUUAGAUACCCGCGUAGUC